UAUUAUUCUGUAAACCGUUGCUUCGUGUUUCCGGGACUGAUCGUAGCCUUCAACACUCGAAGCGAAGUGUUGAGGUAGACGUUUAGCCCGAAAACAAGUUGAAUAACGGUCCUUUUGUAUGGG
rnacentral:precursor_RNA from 14 species